rnacentral:rRNA from 1 species
AAAGCCUGAUCCAGUCAAUGCCGCGUGAGUGAUGAAGGCCUUAGGGUUGUAAAGCUCUUUUACCCGGGAUGAUAAUGACAGUACCGGGAGAAUAAGCCCCGGCUAACUCCGUGCCAGCAGCCGCGGUAAUA